GAUCCUCAACAUCAAAAACUAAAAGCAAAAGACAGCAACAAAACCCCACGAGUCAAGUAGGUCAUUGGUGUCUGCCGCUCUUAAGCUCUUGUUCCAGCCUGUCCCAGCCUCCAGCAGGUACAACUCUCUAGAGAGAGCCACAGCUGGCCAGGACCAGACAGGACCACUCUGUGUGGUAGUCCUAAGUUAGAGGACAUUCGGGGAACUUGUUUCCACGGUUCUGUUCCCUUCUCUUUAUGAAAGAGCUUUUGCUUUGCCCGGCCUUUGUUUGGGGAGUUCAGCUAAUAAAGGGGCCAUUUUGCUGGAAUGAAUUACUGAUGAAAGUCCCGCUGGGAUCGGCAGGAGGACGGCCCUCUGGCCUCUCUUCAGCAAGGCCGCCGAGACUGUCAAGUCUGCUGUGGGAUUCGCAGAGGUACGGUACCAUCAAAUGCUCCAGGAAGCUCCACUCACUUGCUUUAAGUUAAAAGAGUAAAGAAGUCAAUAUUUUAGGCAAAUCUAAGAUGAUGAGUUUGGCCCCUUGUGUCUUCAACGACCCAAGGUUAAGCAAUACUGCACCAGUUAAGCAAAAAUAAAUCAUGACACCCCAAGAAAG
rnacentral:lncRNA from 1 species